GGCAGAUGGAAAUGAUCAGCCACAAAUCAAGGUCACUGACUUUGUUGCCGCCUGCCGGCUUGCCACUCCUAUUAUCUUUUCCUUUAGAUCCGUAGCUGAUCUUGCCAACCGUGAAUUUAAUCGCCAGGUUAAUUUUCACUAAUUAAUAAUUAUACACUCUUGAUUCUUAUUAAUUUCAACUUUAUUAUUUUCCGUUUAAUUUUAAGAAAAUUCAUAAUAUUCGUGUUCAUAUUCAUAUUGUAUUGUAAGAUUUAGAUUGAGAAUAUAGAAAAACUCUGCAAUGGGGACGACACAAUUAAAUCUGUUGUGGAACGUGAAAUUAGCCAAGAUGUUGCACAGAACGACAGCAGUAGUUGUUCAAGAAGCAUAGUUAGAGCAAGACGUGCAACUGAGAUGGUUAUGAUACUCUUUCAGACUCUCCUCCACGACCACUAUAAUAAUGAUGAUAAUAGUGGUGGAGCUUCUGUUGCUAAUUAAUCCACUUAUAAAAGCUUACGAGCAAACGUUCGGUAAAUUCCAUUUACCCACUGUAAAAGGUCUCGUUGCCAAUUACUUACUGGAUAAUGCUCCGACCAAGUCCUAACUUUGGACAAGUUUAGGUGAAGAUGAUGAUUCGGCAAACAAACUGAUGGAAACUUUUGUGAAGGCAUCAACUGUUGUGAUACAAACCAUUGAUGAAAUAUAUUUAUCAUCCGAUGAGGGAUAUGAGAUGCUUAAAGUUUUAAUCUGAACGUGAAUUUCAUUCAUCAACAAUAAUAAAUAAAACACAAUCCUAUGUUCUGCUGGAGUCAGAAUAUUGAAACUCAUCAGCAAAUGAUUUGAAUCUGAUUAUCCAAAGAGAUAUGAGUUUCUUAUGUAGUGGUUUUUUACCAUCAAAUUUGUUGAUUUUGCAUCAUGUUGAAGAGCGCGCGUGUACGUUGAGGAUAAUUUGAGCUUGCUAUUAUAUUUUUACUUGAUUUAAUUGGUACGUUAAUUUUGAUUUGUUCAUUUAUAUAUUUAGAUUAAAUUGUGUC